rnacentral:rRNA from 1 species
GACGAACGCUGGUGGCGUGCUUAACACAUGCAAGUCGAACGAAAAUACCAAGCUUGCUUGGUUGAUUAGUGGCGAACGGGUGAGUAACACGUGAGUAACCUGCCCCUUACUUUCCUGGAUAACUGCUCGAAAGGGUAGCUAAUACGGGAUAUUCUGACUAGCCUGCAUGGGUUGGUUUGGAAAGGUUGUUUUUCUGGUAAGGGAUGGGCUCGCGGCCUAUCAGCUUGUUGGUGGGGUGAUGGCCUACCAAGGCUUUGACGGGUAGCCGGCCUGAGAGGGUGGACGGUCACACUGGGACUGAGAUACGGCCCAGACUCCUACGGGAGGCAGCAGUGGGGAAUAUUGCACAAUGGGCGCAAGCCUGAUGCAGCGACGCCGCGUGAGGGAUGAAGGCCUUCGGGUUGUAAACCUCUUUCGUCAGGGAACAAGGCACUGUCUUUUUGGUGGUGUUGAGGGUACCUGGAUAAGAAGCGCCGGCUAACUACGUGCCAGCAGCCGCGGUAAUACGUAGGGCGCAAGCGUUGUCCGGAAUUAUUGGGCGUAAAGAGCUCGUAGGCGGCUGGUCGCGUCUGUCGUGAAAACUUCCGGCUCAACCGGGGGCUUGCGGUGGGUACGGGCCGGCUAGAGUGCGGUAGGGGUAACUGGAACUCCUGGUGUAGCGGUGGAAUGCGCAGAUAUCAGGAAGAACACCGAUGGCGAAGGCAGGUUACUGGGCCGUUACUGACGCUGAGGAGCGAAAGCGUGGGGAGCGAACAGG